AAUUAAAAAAAGAUGUGUCAAAGAGAAGAAACAAAAAGUUAAGAUAUCCGAAAGAUGUUCUUAGGAUAAAUAGGGAAUUUAAUGAAAAAAACCCUCAACUUUGGCCGGAUCCAUUUUUAAACCCUGAACUAUUUUUUUAGUAAAACAAACCCUGAACAAAAACCUGUUAAUAAACUUAAUCUUACAGUAAUUAAAUAUUAAUGGGAUAUUAAUUUCAACAAAACAAAACAACGAGACAUUUGUAUUUAGCGCAAAAACCACAUGAUGUUCUUUAAAACUGUUUUGAAUUUAUUAAAAAAAACGUUUAGUGUUCUAAAUGAUUUUGAAUUGCCUAAUUAGUUUGGAUUUUAGAAGCUGAAAGAAAGACACAACAACUUAAAAUAAUCCAACGAGUCAUGUUAAAAAAAAUCCAACCAACAUAACUAUCGAAGCUGUUGCAACACAACAAUACACAAAAAAACAAUCGUUUCAGAGGGACAAGAUACUCUAAAGUAAAGACUUCUCAAGCAUUAACUUUGAAGAGAAGAUUGUAUUGGCUGAGUGAUAGGGUUCUCUUCAUCCAUUGUUUUCUGUUUUUUUCAAUACAAUAUUCUCUUCAAAGUUAAUGCUUGAGAAGUCUUUACUUUAGAGUAUCUUGUCCUGCUGAAACGAUUGUUUUUUUGUGACAAAUAUUGUUGUGUUGCAACAGUUUCGAUAGUUAUGUUGGUUGGAUUUUUUUCAACAUGACUCGUUGGAUUAUUUUAAGUUGUUGUGUCUCUCUUUCAGCUUCUAAAACCCAAACUAAUUAGGCAAUUCAAAAUCAUUUAUAACACUAAACGUUUUUUUUAAUAAAUUCAAAACAGUUUUAAAGAACAUCAUGUGGUUUUUGCGUUAAAUACAAAUAUCUGGUUGUUUUGUUUUGUUGAAAUUAAUAUCCCAUUAAUAUUUAAUUACUGUAGGGUUAAGUUUAUUAACAGGUUUUUGUUCAGGGUUUGUUUUACUAAAAAAAUAGUUCAGGGUUUAAAAAUGAAUCCGGCCAAAAUUGAGGGUUUUUUCAUUAAAUUCCCGGAUAAAUAAAGCAAACCUACAAAUGAUGAUUCUUAAAAAGCUUAAAAGGAUAUUGUAGUAUGCAAAAGUGCCAACAUUGGCUUUUAAUAAGAGAUCGAAACUUUGUAAAAGAAAGUGAUCCGAACCU
rnacentral:sRNA from 1 species